CCCGGAACCGGUUUCCCGAGGUGCCCGAGGCGGCGUGCCAGCUGGUGUCCCUGGAGGGCCUGAGCCUCUACCACAAUUGCCUGAGAUGCCUGAACCCAGCCUUGGGGAAUCUCACAGCCCUCACCUACCUCAACCUCAGGUAGGGAGGCCGAGCCAGGGCCACGUGGGAGCGUGUGCUUCUCAGUCUCAAGUACUACUGAGUGACCCACCCAGUGACCCCGAGAGGAUGGCAGUGCUGGGAUGCCAUGCCUGGGGAGCCAGUCCGCUGCCUUUCUCCCUUCCACAGCCGAAACCAGCUGUCGCUGCUGCCACCCUACAUCUGCCAGCUGCCCCUGAGGGUCCUCAUCGUCAGCAACAACAAGCUGGGAGCCCUGCCCCCUGACAUCGGCACCCUGGGAAGCCUGCGACAGCUUGACGUGAGCAGCAACGAGCUCCAAUCCCUGCCCUCGGAACUGUGUGGCCUCUCUUCCCUGCGGGACCUCAAUGUCCGGAGGAACCAGCUCAGUACGCUGCCCGAAGGUGAGAAGAAUGAAGAACUGGAGAGGAGGUGUUUGUAUGUGCGUCCCAGUUGGCUCAGGCUGCGGUAACGAAAACACUGCAGACCGGGUAGCUUAUACAUGGCAGGCAUUCAUUUUUCACAGUUCUGGAAGCUGAAGUUC
rnacentral:sRNA from 1 species